rnacentral:rRNA from 1 species
GAUGAACGCUAGCGAAGGCUUAACACAUGCAAGUCGAGGGACCGGCGGAAGGGUGCGUAACGCGUAUGCAACUUGCCUCACAGAGGAGAAUAACCCGGAGAAAUCCGGACUAAUGAUCCAUACUGUGAGAUAGGCAUGCGUCCUAUUAGGUAGUUGGUGAGGUAACGGCUCACCAAUCCGACGAUAGGUAGGGGUGCUGAGAGGCAGACCCCCCACAGGUGGACUGAGACACGGCCCAAACUCCUACGUGAGGGAGCAGUGAGUAGUAUUGGUCAAUUGAGGAAACUCUGAACCAGCCAAGUCGCGUGAAGGAAGAAUGUCUAAGGAGUGUAAACUUCUUUAGCGAGCGAGUAAGUAGCUCGAGGAUAAGUAUCGGCUAACUCCGUGCCAGCGGCCGCGGUAAUAC